UACGUAGGGUGCGAGCGUUAAUCGGAAUUACUGGGCGUAAAGCGUGCGCAGGCGGUUCGUUAAGUUCGUUGUGAAAGCCCCGGGCUCAACCUGGGAACUGCAAUGGAAACUGGCGGGCUUGAGUGUGGCAGAGGGGGGUGGAAUUCCGCGUGUAGCAGUGAAAUGCGUAGAGAUGCGGAGGAACACCGAUGGCGAAGGCAGCCCCCUGGGUCGACACUGACGCUCAGGCACGAAAGCGUGGGGAGCAAACAGG
rnacentral:rRNA from 1 species